UACGUAGGGCGGAAGCGUUGUCCGGAAUUAUUGGGCGUAAAGAGCUCGUAGGCGGUCUGUCGCGUCGGAUGUGAAAGCCCGGGGCUUAACCCCGGGUCUGCAUUCGAUACGGGCAGACUAGAGUGUGGUAGGGGAGAUCGGAAUUCCUGGUGUAGCGGUGAAAUGCGCAGAUAUCAGGAGGAACACCGGUGGCGAAGGCGGAUCUCUGGGCCAUUACUGACGCUGAGGAGCGAAAGCGUGGGGAGCGAACAGG
rnacentral:rRNA from 1 species